rnacentral:tRNA from 28 species
GGGGCUGUAGUUCAAUGGCAGAACAUCUGCUUCCCAAGCAGAUAGCGCGGGUUCGAUUCCCGUCAGCCCCUCCA